CGGCAGGCCUAACACAUGCAAGUCGAGCGGCAGCACAAGGUGAGUUUACUCACUGAGGUGGCGAGCGGCGGACGGGUGAGUAAUGCCUAGGGAUCUGCCCAGUCGAGGGGGAUAACAGUUGGAAACGACUGCUAAUACCGCAUACGCCCUACGGGGGAAAGAGGGGGACCUUCGGGCCUCUCGCGAUUGGAUGAACCUAGGUGGGAUUAGCUAGUUGGUGAGGUAAUGGCUCACCAAGGCGACGAUCCCUAGCUGUUCUGAGAGGAUGAUCAGCCACACUGGGACUGAGACACGGCCCAGACUCCUACGGGAGGCAGCAGUGGGGAAUAUUGCACAAUGGGGGAAACCCUGAUGCAGCCAUGCCGCGUGUGUGAAGAAGGCCUUCGGGUUGUAAAGCACUUUCAGUAGGGAGGAAAGGGUGAGUCUUAAUACGGCUCAUCUGUGACGUUACCUACAGAAGAAGGACCGGCUAACUCCGUGCCAGCAGCCGCGGUAAUACGGAGGGUCCGAGCGUUAAUCGGAAUUACUGGGCGUAAAGCGUGCGCAGGCGGUUUGUUAAGCGAGAUGUGAAAGCCCUGGGCUCAACCUAGGAAUAGCAUUUCGAACUGGCGAACUAGAGUCUUGUAGAGGGGGGUAGA
rnacentral:rRNA from 1 species